UGUAGGAGAGUGCUGACACAGCAGUGGACAGAUCAGUACUUUAGUAAUGUGGGGGGGGUGUUUUGUAAAUCUAUCAGAUAGAGGUGAUGUGUAGGAGAGUGCUGACACAGCAGUGGACAGAACAGUACUUUAGUAAUGUGGUGGGGGUGUUUUGUAAAUCUAUCAGAUAGAGGUGAUGUGUAGGAGAGUGCUGACACAGCAGUGGACAGAACAGUACUUUAGUAAUGUGGUGAGGGUGUUUUGUAAAUCUAUCAGAUAGAGGUGAUGUGUAGGAGAGUGCUGACACAGCAGUGGACAGAACAGUACUUUAGUAAUGUGGGGGGGGUGUUUUGUAAAUCUAUCAGAUAGAGGUGAUGUGUAGGAGAGUGCUGACACAGCAGUGGACAGAACAGUACUUUAGUAAUGUGGGGGGGGUGUUUUGUAAAUCUAUCAGAUAGAGGUGAUGUGUAGGAGAGUGCUGACACAGCAGUGGACAGAACAGUACUUUAGUAAUGUGGGGGGGGUGUUUUGUAAAUCUAUCAGAUAGAGGUGAUGUGUAGGAGAGUGCUGACACAGCAGUGGACAGAACAGUACUUUAGUAAUGUGGGGGGGGUGUUUUGUAAAUCUAUCAGAUAGAGGUGAUGUGUAGGAGAGUGCUGACACAGCAGUGGACAGAACAGUACUUUAGUAAUGUGGGGGGGGUGUUUUGUAAAUCUAUCAGAUAGAGGUGAUGUGUAGGAGAGUGCUGACACAGCAGUGAGAUGGAUUGAACUCAUGUUGCCAGCGUUAUGUCCAUGUGCUCAAGAAGCAGGGGCUUACACCGCCAGACGACAUGUACAACUUCACACUUUAAAAACACACUCGCCGACUCCAACCCCAUUCCUUUAUUUGUAAGUGUAGAUGUAUUCAACAAUAGAUAGAAAGUAGUGACAUUGCAAGAGCAGUGGGAGUUCCUAUUGGUUUAGUUUAUACAUAAACCAAUAGAAAUCUGUUAUUUUCUGAACCACAUAACUGAAG